ACACAGCCUUACUGGAUGAGAAGCAGCAGUAACACUAGCAGCAUCUCAUUUGUGGCUGCUGGGGGCUCGGUCUCACACACACAGGCGCUCCCAGCGCCACCGUCACACACACGCAGUGGCAGCCACAGCCGUCGUUAGAGCCUGGGCUGGGGCAGGGACGGGGACCGCUACUGUGACGACUGGAGCUACGGCGAUAGCAGCUGCUGCACCAUGGCACAAGCCGCCAAGCAGCUACGCAAGAACAAGGACCUAGCGGAGCUCGCAGCUCAGGAGCUGAAGGAUAAGGAGGAGGAGAAGAACAAGAAGAGGAAUCGAUCGAGGGACCGAAGACGCAAGGAAGAGAACUCAAGUCUGCACUAUGCUAUAAGGAUGUGACCUUGCUGGGGAGUUCAAGUUGGAUAUGGCUGGAGAGUAUGAUGUGUCAAUGUUUUUAUAAACCAGAAGUCAAUAGGAGGAGAAGUUAUUCAAUUUGAACAAUUUGCAAUUUCCAUGCACCUUGUGAAUGUAUUUUUAUACUAUACACAGUGUUUAAUGUGUAAUGUGUUUGUAUAUGUAAAAUAUAGCAAUUUUAUUAGCAUUACAUUUUUUUCUGCUCUAGUAUGUUG
ensembl:lncRNA